GCCUCGGUGAUGUAGUGGUAACACGCGUCCCCGGUAAGGAUGAAACGCGAGUUCGAUUCCCCCUGAGGCC